UGGUGUCGAGUAACCAAAGGUCAAAGUAAAGACAAGUGAAUGAAAACGGAAGGAAACUUAAAAGGCUGCACUUAAUGGGGACAGAACAUCACCAAAUCCACUCAAACUUCAACCAAAUCAUUGCAGUGGAUGUCGAAUAAUCGUUUUAUUCGCCGGAAAAAAGCAAGACCGCAGAUAAUAUGACACUGGGAUCUGGAUUCACUGCAGACAUCAUCUACAGUGGGAGUCCGUGUGUUACCUUCGUCAGAUGGCCAUUUUCUUUCUAUACUGUUUCCUGCCCUUACGGAGUUACACCCACUGUAGAAGCCAGCACAGUUUUUAGCAUGCUUGAUAAGAAUAAUUUAAGAUGAGGGAGGGCCUUCAACUGUUCAACUGCUGACUGGAUUUUCCAUUACUUCAACAUUGUGACUUUGUCUCUGGCUGGCCACAUUGUCAUCUGUGACUGAGGUUACAGAUGCACAAGGUAGUUUGGGGCUGUAAACAUCCCCGACUGGAAGCUGUCUAUCUGCAGAGCUUUCAGUCUGAUGUUUGCUGCUGCCGACUGUCCAGCUCCACAGAAAUGGAAGAGAUAGGUAUAUGUGCCAUGUCCAAUCAUCUGACCUGCUACUUUAAAAUGCAAACAAAAUUGUGUGGUAAAGUUGUAUUGGUGCUGGGCGAUAUGAAAAAAAUAAAAUAUUACAAUAUUUUUGACCAAAUACAUUGAUGUCGAUAUUGUAGGGUUGACUAUUGGUGCUUUCACAACAUAUUGACACAAUGAGAGUUUUGAUAAAUAAUCACCAAUUGUGAGUAUACAAUGACAAAUUGGGUAAAGUCAAAUUCUAAAGCUAGUAAGGCUGGUAAGUUCAAAAAAUUACAUCACUUUACUGAAAUGCAGCCUGUAAAACCAGAAAAAGACGUGUCAUAUCACAACAUCCAAAAUUUUAGACGAUAUCUAGCCUCGUAUAUCGAUGUUGAUAUAUUAUCAAUAUAUUGCCCAGCCCUAAGUUGUAUUACUAAUAAUAGUAGUUAGUGAUUUAGCCCUGUAGGCCCUGUUUGAACCGUAACUUUGUGUUUCGAUGGCUUAUAUCCUUCGUUGUUCAGACCUCGUUCGUGUAAACAUCCUACACUCAGCUGUGAUCAAGUGCAGCAGAGGCUGAGAGAAGGUUGUUUACUUGAACUGGCUGGAAGUGACUCUUUGACAUGGAGCAAGCUGAGCGGAAGGGCGUCCACUUUAAGAUGAGCUGCAGUUCAGCUCCCAUCAGACUUCCUGUUCCUGCUGUUGCGCUGACCUCUUAAACAGAGUUCUGUAACUGAGCAGUCUCAUUUUUGGAUUCAUACAUUAAUCAGCAAGAGUAGGUGGGUUAGUGCGAAAAAGAGGAUUUUAAUUCCUACCAGCAUUGUGUGGGUUACUCCAGUGCAACACCUUGGCCUGGUUGUUGAUGUAGAUUUGGUGUGCUGCUGGAUUACAGACAAUACCUAAAGGCUUGUCAACUUCACUACCUUACUUGUUAAUGGGAUGUUGAUGUCAUGGGCAGAUAUUUGAUUUAAUUUAUUUAAGUGGUUUGCCGUUUUAAGACAUUGUGUAUUAGCCAAUUUAACAUUUCAUGUUUUGUACCCAUGUAAUUAACUUGAAAAAUGUUGGAAUUAGUAAAAGUGACAUGGAAAGUCAAAACAUAUCCU